ensembl:lncRNA
GGCCGAUGAUGCUGGUCGAUGUGGAAAAAAUAACUGAGUUGUUUGGUGGUGGAGCUACAACAGAGGGCAGCUAUCCACCGGUGUGUGACAGAAAGGACAUGCCGCGAACGAGACAUACAAGGCGGUGAGGCUACUGCCGAUCGUCCGGUGUUUGCUAACGCGGAGGUCAAUCGUGGAUCAGGGAAAGCGAAGGCAGGAGCGUGAGGUGAACUGAAUUUCAGCUACAACAGAGGGCAGCUAUCCACCGGUGUGUGACAGAAAGGACAUGCCGCGAACGAGACAUACAAGGCGGUGAGGCUACCGCCGAUCGACCGGUGUUUGCUAACGCGGAGGUCAAUCGUGGAUCAGGGAAAGCGAAGGCAGGAGCGUGAGGUGAACUGAAUUUCAGGUAAGAAGUUAUGACCUGCACUCUAUUUGGGUCAGAUAUAAACCGAGUUUAGGUGUAGUUUAUUUAGCAGCAGUUCUCUUAUGUGUUGCUGAUAGCCGGCUAGCUAGCUAGCGCCGCUAGCAUAGUUAGCUCGCGCCGCUAGCAACCCUUGGCUUAUAUUGAGGCGGGUGAAACUCGUGUCA